rnacentral:lncRNA from 1 species
GGCUUCCCCAGCCAGGACUUCGGCUCAGACUGUGGCAUAUUCAUGUUGAUGGUAGGUCAUAACGAGCUGUAAUGCACAAAUAUUGUAUCUAGAAUAACUUUCCAACAUGGACUUUUUUAAAGUUAUCUCACAUGAUGUCUCAUAAUUUUUUUUUUUAAGUCUGCCAUGUACAUCGUUAUGGAGUCACAGUUUGACUACUCAGUUGUAAGUACUUUUCAACACGCAGUGUCAUCCUCAAGAUUGUAUUUUGUAUUGUGCACUAAAAUGAAAUACAAACAACAAUUUCAGCAUGACAUGCCUGUUUGGCGGCGAUGGUGGUGCCUGUUGCUCCUGGAGAACAAUUCUUUGAACAGGUAGACAGUUUAAGUAAACUAGAUGUCCUAAUUAACUGGAAGACAAUCAAUAUAUUGUACUUAAAGACAUAUUGUCAUUACAGUUGUGGGAAAAUCUUCGCCCACUGGACCAAAGGAUGUCAAGAGCUCAUUGCUGGAAAGCAUACUCCAGUCUUCAGUCUAAAGAGGAAGGCAGAGCAGCAGGACAUAGAGGUUAGAAAAUUGCCUUGUAAAAACAGUAUUAUCUCAGUGGGAGUCCUUCAAAAUGCACACAGUUGUAUGGAUCAACAUUGUCUCGAUGUAUUUGGUAAUUGAUGUUACUUUUCAAAUUGCCUUGUCAAGGAAACCAUGACGCAGACGGUAUCGGAUGUCCAAAGAAUGUGCAUGGCAGAUUCAAUGCAAUUCUGUGUUUACCAGACAUCGAACAACACAGGAGAGAGGUGUGUUGCAGACUCAAUUUAAUAAAUGCAAUUAUCGGGGCCUAUUCAGUGAUUUUCCAUGAAGUGACCACUUUUACAUAUAGUUUAAAUGCACGAAUCAUGCAGGAAAAUUAUUUAUACAUUCAAAUGUGCUGCAGAGGUAUAAUCAAUUGGACAGCGUGUUUGUUUAAUAUUAUGUUUGUCUCUCAUUUGAUCAGAUUGCUUUACCCUGAGGUAAACGUCAUAAAAUGGGUCCAGUGCAAGACGUGCAGGGGCUGGCUGCAUCAGGAUUGUGCUGGGAUUGAAAUGGAGCCGUUUGACUGCGGGUGCGAGGACUCCAUUGAGCAUCCUCGGUAUAACAUAAUUUAUCAAGGAAACAUAGUAUCAGUCAAAAAUACGAGGCUCAAAGGAUGAAAAAAUGAGGGCUUGCUCUUUUUCUUAUUUCUCUGCAGGAUCAAGGAUGCUGUUGACAGUUGAGGAAUUCAUGCUGUCUUUUCUAAGACACAGAUCAAGGUUGCUUUUGAAUGCACUAUCAGUUGUUAAAGCCACCGUUUCUUUUUCAGAUGAUUACAUUUUUGUCUCUUGCUCUUUGGUUUCAGACAUUACACGAUGAUCUACUGUCUGGAAAGAUCCGCUCCAACAGAAUGUUCCUUUGGAGGAAUCCCGCCACCUCACUCCGACUAAAGCAGCAUCUUAAGAUAAGGACAUUAAGUUGGAGUGAGCAGCGCGCAAGUAAAAAUUCCAUCCAUCAUGAGUAUUUUUACUCUCAGGGGUGUUACAUUUGAAAGGUGUUUACUUUCUGUGUUUUUCUUCAAUAGAUGUUCGAGCUCCUGCGGUUCAUUGAGGUGGCAACAAACAUUUCUAAAAAAAUAAAGAGAGGCGAGAUUCAUCUGCUUGAUUUCGUUUUUGACGUCAUGCUCCCAGAGGUGAGUAGAUCAAACUAUAUAGCUUGCUUUGAAAAUUGAUGAUAUUGUUAAGAGGUUGUUCUUAUUCAUUUGGAAAGCUCAAGAACAACAAUUAACCCAUACUGCAUAACUUCAAUUGUUCACAUUAUUUGACUGUUUUUCAGCUUUUGAUCAAAGCACUGAAGGAGCAUGGCAUCAACCGGUUCAGAGCAGAGCUGAUGAUGGCCUGUGGCAACGUGUUUUAAGCCCCCCACCACACCGACGGCAGUGCUGAAUUUUGUAUAUAUAUAUAUUUUUUUACUGUUC